GCUACUCCUCGAGUGGAUGCAACAACUGUUACAAUCAGAAGAAUAUCCGAUGAAGAUGAUUAUUUGAUGUUUGGCACUCUCCUUCGUGAACAUAUAGUUAUUACAACACCACAUUAUCUUUUUGAUGCAAAUUCAAAUGACGUGUUUAUUGAAGCAAACUGCAGAAAAAUUACGAAAAAAAUAAGUCUAUCAUCAAAUUCCUGUAUCCG